CCUAAAAUUUAAGCUCAGAAUAAACCACCCAAAUUUUCAUUUAUAGAUUGGUUAUGGAUUAUUUUCGUCGACACAGGCGAGUGUGUAAGUUAGCAUAUCACGCUCCUCAUCUGGUCUGUGGUUGCCCUCGUCCCUGGGUGGUCAAGAACAGAGUAUUCCUUCUUUGUGCACUGCUCAGGAUUCUGGCUGAUUUUCAGAAUGUGCAGCCCGUCUCCCAGCCUUGCAGAAGCCCCACCCUCACCAGCAGCCUGGGAGAGCUCACAGUUCUGCCCUGUGCUUUCUUCCUUAUAGACAACUCCUUUUAUUUCCUGGUCUGCCAUCUCAGGAGGGUGGGUGAGACCAAAUCUGUUAUAUCAGUGUCUAGUGGAGCCUAAGCCGAUUCAGGCCAAGACAUUUGGCCGCUUUGAAUGGAUGUUUUGGAAGAUUUUUGAAACUCCAAUCCAGAGGACCACAGAAAGCACAUUUGGACAUGACUGUCGCCUGGAAAAGAAACUGUCAAAAGAGCCGGGACCAGGCUGGGCUGGACACACAUAAUAGACACAGAAUAUCCUGGACGCUGAUCUUGGGCCAGUCCGUAUUUCUGUAAUUGUUCUGCUGUUCACAAAGAGCAAGACCAUGGCCUUAGGAGGGGGGUAGAUUCCGCCAAAGGAAAGUUCCCCUGCCAGUCAUCCGGGAAGAAGACUACUGGGGCAGAAAAUGAGGACUCAGGAUGUGGGCCUUUGGGUUGGUAGAGAAGUUUGUUCUCUCUUUCUCUUUCUUUCUGUCUUAAGAAAGUGGAGUCUACCCUAUGAGGGAAGACAUGCUCCCAGCCACCCCAGAGGUGGCCUGCGCUGGACCCUGCCAUGUGGAGCAAGCUGGGGCUGGUCAGGUAGGUGGCCCUGGGUACCAGCCUGGGAUCUGUGGGCCCUGAGGACAACCACAUUGAUCAAAGUUGUGGGUAUGACCGUGUUUUACUCUCCUUCCACGAUCCCCAAAUUUUGUCAGCUCCUGCUAAAGCUGUGCCUGGGUUCUGUUAAGUAUGAUGCUUUGAGAACAGGGCCCCAGACAUGUUUGGGUAUGAGUGGCUAAGAGGACUCCACAGUGGUGUGCUCAGUGGUGGCAGCUACCACAGAGGAUGGCCAUGUCUGGCAGGGUGGGUGUCACAGAGGGUGUGGGGACCUACCGAGGAAGCUGGAGGGGAAGAACAUAAAGGGCAAGCUCUGGGGCUGGCACAACCCAGCAGGAGGGGCUCUCCGGACUAGUGCGGGACACGCUGCAGGGGCUGAGUGCCCGUGGGGGCCAGUAGGGUUCAAAGAAAAACGUAAUUUGAGUAUUUAAUGGCGAUAAGAUGGUUUAUUAUCAUUGGUGGGGGAAGCCUGAACAUAGCCAUUCUAUUAGAAUUCUAUUAGUAAUAAAAAUAGGUAAUACCAACAAUCUAGUGUGUCAACAUUUUAACAGAACUUUUCACUUCACAAAGAGUUUUUACAUAUGCUCAUCUCUAGCUGAUCCUCAAAUAAUCCUAUAAGAUAUGUAGAACAGGUAUUAGAAUAAUUAUUCUUAUUAAUUACCAGGAUGAACCACACUAAAUCUCUGUAUUUAUAGGUCAAAUGUGGUUAACUGUCAACAGUUUAUAUGGUUCAGCUUAAUGUUAUUACACAAAUCAUAACCAUAAUCAUUAUUAUAAAUGACAACAAUAAGAGGUACCUCUUUUAAAAAA